AUACAUAUAAAACCAUAUAGAAGUAGGGAAUUAGCACAAUUUUAAAGGAAUCUUAUUUGUAUAUUCAUAUAGGAACCACUUCAAAUUUUCUUUGUAAUUCCAUAUACACUACAUGUUAGGAACAUUCAUAUAAAUCCAUGUAGAUGCUUAGGGACUUAGUGUGUCGACAGGAAAAUCCUGUAUGGAUAUCCAUAUAAAUACUUAUAACAGAAGGAACGCUCUUGGAAUUCCAUUCAGAAACCAUCUCAAAUUUUAAUAGUAAAUCCAUAUAGGUUGCCAAGUUUGUUCAAGAAUCUUCAAGAAGUCUUUGGCAAUGACUAAUUACUGACGAAUCAAUUAAAUCAGGAUGUCUUGAGAAUUUUUUUCAUUCCUUCGCGGUGUUGGAAGAGGCCACGAUCAUCCAACUUCUUUGGAAGUAUUGUAUCGUUUGCGAUGGUUUAUCCUUGGCAAGCACGCCAGGGAGGCACUGUCCGAUGGUUGUAACACGGAAAAAGAUAGGAGUGAAAAAAGUCUUAUCAAUGCAUCGGACUUACAAGAUAAGGCAACGGAACAGAAGAGUACUUCCACGUCUGCGACAAACGUGAAUGAGAAUGUGAAAUUAGACUUGAAAGAAAGUCUUCUAGUUAAUGCAACAGAUUUAUUUAAAUAUUCCAACAUCUGCGAUAGCCCUGACACAUUACAGUCUGAUAAUGACUUUGUCGAAAUAAGUAGCAUGGGUCUCAUUGACAGUAAAAAAGAAGAAGUCAUAAUGCAAGAAGUAUGCAACAUCCUGUCUGUAGAAAUAAGCGAAGGAGAAGUAGACGAUCCAUUUCUUCAGAGUUGGUCGAAUUCAAAAAGCCGGCAGGUGAAGAAGAUGAGAAUGAGCCGGAUUCAGCGGUGCAGUACGUUUUAAGGUGAGGCGCUUCCGCAUGUUUCUUAUCAGCAGUUUCUCAUUUGACGUAUAACAUGUGACAUGUCCAAACACAGUUUCUCCGACGGGUGAGGAAAUAGGUCUUCUGAGUCAUUAGAAAUGACACUGGCUGCUGAAAAAAUGGCAGAUGACGGACUAAAAUAUAUUGCCGGAUAUGUCGCUUGGCGAUUCUCACGGGAUACGUCUCUUGGCUUGUAUACUUCUUCGUUACCUCAAAAACGCCCAGGCGAAUGGAUAGAUCACUUGUGAAGAGGAUAUUUAUCGGCUCCAACUGACAAAAUGGUUACAGCUGCAAGAGUAAUGAC